CCACUGUGUGACCUUCAGGUGCCAUCUGGUGUUGAGCUUCAGCUCAAGCAGAAGGGUCUACUGCAGAAAGAAUGCAGAUUCCCUUUGUCUUUCUGAACUAUCAGAAAGGAUUUAGUAGCCCUUAAUGGAGUCAGAAAGAAGAAAGCAUGAUCCAGCCAGCUGUGGGUUUUUAAGCUUGACCUCAAAAGAAUGGCCAGCUUUAUAGUUUUUUAUGUUAAAAAAAGGUUGAAUGUUCCUAAUGAUAUUGUAGGAGCCCCAAACAGAAACAGAGAUCACGGAUCCCAGGAGACUGUCCUCAAAGUGCUUCCUGCAUAUAAAAAUGCAAGAUCCCUUUGCAUAUUAUGAAUACACAAGAAACAGGCAUAUUCUGUCAAAGGCUGUGAGGUCUGGAUUUUUAACUUUUAGAAUGUAGC